UACGGAAGGGGCAAGCGUUGUCCGGAAUCAUUGGGCGUAAAGCGCGCGUAGGUGGCCUCGUAAGUCCGCUGUAAAAGUCAAAGGCUCAACCUUUGAAAGCCGGUGGAUACUGCGGGGCUAGAGUACGGAAGAGGCGAGUGGAAUUCCUGGUGUAGCGGUGGAAUGCGCAGAUAUCAGGAGGAACACCAAUAGCGAAGGCAGCUCGCUGGGACGUUACUGACACUGAGGCGCGAAAGCGUGGGGAGCGAACAGG
rnacentral:rRNA from 1 species